UUUAGUUAUAUGAUAGUUUGACUAUCAAACUUAUAUUUUAUAUAUACAUGUAGCUGGACUUUAGAUGUUCACUUUUGUGAAUGACUUAUUAAUGUAAACUUAAUUUCUUAUCGUGAUUUCCUAUUUUCUCAAGCUUUCUGUAACACAUUUUAACCAACUUAAAAGACCCUACAUAUUUACCAUCAAAGUGUUGUGCCUAUGGCUUCUUUUCUGUACUUAAUGUAUCUAACUGUGCUAGUUCCUGUAGCCUUUUUCUGCUUUACUCAUUGUUUCUCUCUGCUUCCUGUUUAGAAUACUUUUAAUGACAACUUUUCAUUUUAGAAGGUAUUUUGUACUCCCUUGCAACGUGCUAAAGUUCUCCUAUUGAACAUCAGGAACUGAAUUCCCAGAAGUAAACCUCAUUUUGGUCCUUUGUUCUCUUUUUUUUUCCCCCUUGUAAUUGUUGUACUGAUCAUUCCAUAUUUAUUUAAGUUCUUUCUUAUAUUAGCCCUAGAAUAAUCUAGAAUACUUUACCAACUUGGUAGUUUAUUGUACAUUCCCAUUUAAGGUGGAUUUUUGUGUUCCCUUUUGUCUUUGUCUUCUUUGUGCUGGUGCGCUGUGUCCAAUAAUCUUUCCUUUAGAUUUCAUUUUGGUGAGUAAGGCUUCUAUUUCCAGAAAAUUAUUGUAUCACUGAAGAGUUUAUCUUAAUUCUCCUUUUGUUGUUCAUAUUAUAUUAUGUAAAUUUGUUAAAAGUCACUCCCCGGAUGAAUUUAACUGAAAAGUUCUCAAAUGGCUCACGUGACACUGAUGCUGCUUUAAGGAAGUGUCUUGCUCACCUGGUCAAACACCCAUUCCUCACUGCAUUUUGCCAAUUCAAUCCAUUUUAGAUGUAACCUCGGGUAUGGUGAAAGACCCACCGGACGUCUUGGACAGGCAAAAAUGCCUUGACGCUCUGGCUGCUCUACGCCACGCUAAGUGGUUCCAGGUUCGGAACAUCAUUUUACUUUUUUCUUGUAGCCUUAUGAGAGAGUAGUUCAGUACAACAUGUUUAACUAUGCUUAAACAUUUCAAACAAUUGCCUAAACAACACUAUUUUAAAUUAAAUCUCAGAAAAUAAGUUACCAUAGAAAGCUGAGUGUAACGAUCUGCAUUUUGCGGUUACUAUUAAUUUGACAAUAAACAGGUUUGGGGGGUGUUUGUAGUCUGGGUUUUUUAUUUUUAGUGGCUAUAUUUAAAGUUGACUUGCUUAGGAACAUCACAUGUUUUUGUAUAUAUAUUAUAUUCCAUAAGGCUGCAGAUUAACUUUGCUUUAAAUAAUGGAAUAUGUGUUUAAAGCUUUGUGUAGAGUUAUAAGACUUUUCCUCUUCUUUCUCCUAAGUUACUAAGUGUAGGGAAUGAAAGGUGAGGAAGCAGCUGCUUGGUUUAGUGACUUUGCAGACAUGCAAAGGCACGGAGAGGAAACCAAACAGAUUUCCUUAACCUUUCAGUCCCUAGACAAACUUUAGCUCUUUACUUUUCCAUUUUAUUUCUAAUGUAGGCAGAUUUUUUUCAGUUUACUGUUUUGUAUGAACAUAGGUCAAGGUUCACAGGGGAUCAAGAAAUAUUAUUCUUGUAUAAUCUGUUUACUUUGACCUAAAUACUAGCUUUUAAAUACUAACUCUGGCAUAAAAUAUUGCUGUAAAUGGCAGCUCAUUGAAACCAAUUUAAACGUAAUUAUUUUUAUUUUUAAUCUGAGCUUCCAUUGAACAGUGGUAUUUUAACUUUUUUUCACCAAGGGAUAUUUUUUAUAUUUCUAAGAUUAAUUCAGUUGGUUUUUGUGUUGCCCUCAAGGCUAGAGCUAAUGGCCUACAGUCGUGUGUGAUUAUCAUACGUAUUCUCCGAGACCUUUGUCAACGAGUUCCAACGUGGUCUGAUUUUCCUAGCUGGGUAAGUAGCCGGUGACAGCACAGUGUGAAACUGAGUAUUUAGAAAGUUCUUCUCUGGUAUUCUUUGUUCUCUGAUUUCAUUUGUCCUAUGUUUUCAUUUACAUGUUGUAUUUUUCUGUUUGACAAAUCCAGGAGAUUUGAAAAUACUUAUACUUUCUUAGGAUUUACUAAUUUAAAAAUUAUGCUUGUGCUGGUAAAAUACCUUAGUGAGCAAAAGCAUUUGCUACCAAGCCUGAGUUCCAUUCCUAUGGUAGAAGGAGAGAACUAACUUCUAAAACUUGUCCUUCGACCUUCACGUGCACUCCAUGCACACAUGCACGGGGGAGAAGGGCAGCAAACCACCCUCGUUUUUUUUAAAACAAAACAAUUAUCCUGGGCUGUGUAACAAGUCAGCUGUGCUAGCUUAGGCCCAAGUCCCCAGAACUUACCACAAAAGAAGAAAACUGCUCUUGCUGUAGCCUUGUUACUGUCUGGCAAGACAGGGGAUUGCUAUCCAUUAAGCUAGUUCCAGGUUUGAUUAAGAGACCCUUUCUCAAGGAAAUACGAUAAUGACAGUGUUAAAGUGCAGUCACACCUGGGCUUACAAGUAUGAGAGCCUGUCUUAAACAUAAAAAGACUCGCUGCCUGUAUUUAAAGGCAAACUGUUGUAGAAUGAUAAAAAUUCAGAGAUUUGUUCAGAAAUAUGAUUGAACCUGUUAAUUUUGAAGUUAGGUUAUUGAAAGUUAAAUAGCUAAGGUUAUCUUUUAUUUAUUUGUUUGUUUGUUUGUUUGUUUUGUUCUUGUGUUUAACAAUUACAUGCUUGGCCUGGAGAGAUGGCUCAGUGGUUAGAACACUGACUGCUCUUCUAGAGGUCCUGGGUUCAGUUCCCAGCAACCACAUAGUGGCUCGCAACCCUCUGUAAUGGGAUCCAAUGCCUUCUUCUGGUGUGCCUGAAGAGAGCAAUAGUGUACUCAUACAUAAAAUAAAUAAAUCUUUGAAAAAAAAAAUCACGCCAGGCGUGGUGGCACACGCCUUUAAUCCCAGCACUCGGGAGGCAGAGGCAGGCAGAUUUCUGAGUUCGAGGACAGCCAGGGCUAUAUAAAGAAACCCUGUCUCAAAAAACC
rnacentral:lncRNA from 1 species